UGGCGACGGGUGAGUAAUGUCUGGGAAACUGCCCGAUGGAGGGGGAUAACUACUGGAAACGGUAGCUAAUACCGCAUAACGUCGCAAGACCAAAGAGGGGGACCCUCGGGCCUCUUGCCAUCGGAUGUGCCCAGAUGGGAUUAGCUUGUUGGUGGGGUAACGGCUCACCAAGGCGACGAUCCCUAGCUGGUCUGAGAGGAUGACCAGCCACACUGGAACUGAGACACGGUCCAGACUCCUACGGGAGGCAGCAUG
rnacentral:rRNA from 1 species